CCGAUGAGGUGGAAACGGACAGAGCUGGCGUAUCUGGCCUGCAUUCAGCCGCCACGCGUCGGGCCCCGGUUUGCCGCACUCCAGAUUGGGAAGGUGGCUGGGCUGCUGGCGUGCUGGUGGUGCAUUUGCAGGUGGAGUGCGCUGAGGCGCUCGGCUCAGCGGCAUGAGCUCGGCUUUGAGGCCAACCGCGCAAGCGGUCUGGUACCCGGGUCGGGGGAGUGUUGUUUGGGCUGAGUGUUCGCGUGGGCACUGGUUUCGGGCCCGGGUGGGUGCCGAGCUGGCGGUCGACGGCGGUCGCAUGCGACACGUGUCAUCAGUCAGUUCGGUCCUGCUCGAGCUCUCGCGUGUCCGGCCUCGGUGUAAAAGCCGGUCAUCUGUCCGACCCGUCUUGAAACACGGACCAAGGAGUUUAGCGUGUGCGCGAGUCAUUGGGCGUUGAAAACCCAAAGGCGCAAUGAAAGUGAAGGUCUGCCUUGUGCAGCUGAUGUGUGAUCCUGGGUGCUGCGGUGCCUGGGCGCAACAUAGUCCCGUCCCGACUGCAUGCAGUGGGGCGGAGACAGAGCGUACGCGCUGAG
rnacentral:rRNA from 1 species